CAUCUUUGUUGGUAUGUGGUGCUGCUGUGGAUCGAACCCGGGCCGCACGCAUGCUAGUCACAAACUUCCUGACUGUGUGGGCCUGGGCCCAAGAAGGCUUCACAGACCCCUGGGUGUGCCCAUGGUGUGAGCCAAGUGUUUACUCUGGCCUUGAUGCCAGCAGCUCAGCCCUCCCAGGUUUCAGCAGUGUGGAGCAUGAAGCAGAUGAGCAGGGCCAACAUGGGCAAGGUGGAAGCCAGAGUGUGCUGUCUCUGGUCAGACAAGAUGAACCACAGGCCUGAUAUUACUGUGAGGUCCAGGAGCCACUCCCACUGGGCCAUGCCAGCCCACUCUGUGAAUGGCUUUGAGUCUUAAUUUCCUCUUUGAAUAGGAUUUCUAAAAAAUAAGCUUUUUAGUUGUAGAAAGUUUAGGGUUUUUACAAUGAUGAUUUGAAAUAAAGCAAAUAUUGGUAAAA